rnacentral:rRNA from 1 species
GGUCCCUUGAGGACUUAGUGGCGCAGCUAACGCAAUAAGUUGACCGCCUGGGGAGUACGGCCGCAAGGUUAAAACUCAAAUGAAUUGACGGGGGCCCGCACAAGCGGUGGAGCAUGUGGUUUAAUUCGAUGCAACGCGAAGAACCUUACCUACCCUUGACAUCCAGAGGACUUUCCAGAGAUGGAUUGGUGCCUUCGGGAACUCUGAGACAGGUGCUGCAUGGCUGUCGUCAGCUCGUGUUGUGAAAUGUUGGGUUAAGUCCCGUAACGAGCGCAACCCCUAUCCUUAUUUGCCAGCGAGUAAUGUCGGGAACUCUAAGGAGACUGCCGGUGACAAACCGGAGGAAGGUGGGGACGACGUCAAGUCAUCAUGGCCCUUACGGGUAGGGCUACACACGUGCUACAAUGGCAAGUACAAAGGGUUGCAAUACUGCGAAGUGGAGCCAAUCCCAUAAAGCUUGCCUCAGUCCGGAUUGGAGUCUGCAACUCGACUCCAUGAAGUCGGAAUCGCUAGUAAUCGUGGAUCAGAAUGCCACGGUGAAUACGUUCCCGGGCCUUGUACACACCGCCCGUCACACCAUGGGAGUGGACUGCACCAGAAGUGGUUAGCCUAACCUUCGGGAGGGCGGUCACCACGGUGUGGUUCAUGACUGGGGUGAAGUCGUAACAAGGUAACCA